CACUUUAAUUUGUCCAUCAUUCUUUAUUCUUUCCUCCCGAAACGGUUUCCAGACCCUCACUUUAGCAAAUGUACGCGAGUACGCAAACCCGGAAUUCUCACCGUUACCAUUUUGUAUACUAUGACGCAAUACUAUGGACGCUCACGAGCUGCGGAUGGAGGUUUCAAUUUUUUUAAACUAACUGCAAGAAUGGACAGAGUCAAAGAUAUAUGGUAUAAACAACUCUGGUUGUUCAAACUGAUGGCCAAACCGAUUAACAAAUAAAUGUAAAUAGAUAACUUGUAGAUUCACUGGAAAAAAACAGGGAACGAUUGAAAUGAAAGUCAAAGCAACGGAAAGUGUUUUUGUUUUGAUUGGUGACUUGCCACUUGGAAAGCACAAAGAAAGCUGGUUGAAUUGGUCAACAGUGGCAGAUCCAGAAAUUUUAAUAAAAGUGGGGGGUUGCACUGACUGUCAAACUGGGGCCUCUCCAGUCAUGCGUGAUGAUGCUUCAAUAAUUCCUUUAAAGCAUUUUUAAAGAAAGUACAAGCACUUAAAGAAGUAGUGGAAAAUAAUCAACAAAACAGAAGUCAUUAGAGGCGUUGAUUUCUAUAUUUAUACAUGUAUCUAGACUAGUAGUGGAUUUGAAAAGUGCUGUAUUGAUUCAUGUGCAAAUAAGGAGCAGCAGCCUACAUGGCCAAUGAAACAUUGCAAAUGUAUGAUUAGAGAGGUCAUUUUUCCACAAAAACAAGCUAAUAUAUGUCAAUGGGCCUGAUAAAGUUGAGUUUUUUUGGACUUUUGGGAACAUAAAAAAUGGAACAUAUAUAAGUGAAGAAAAGUAAAGAAAAUGGGAAAAUAUUACAGACACAGUACAUGGACACCAGCAUGAGCAAGUUAAGACAAGAAUCAGCCAUGGAAAGAAACUGUUAAAAGAAGAAAAAAAAGAUGAAGAAAUAGACUUUAACUUUUGUUACAUAUAUGUACAUUUGAUUAUACUAUUAACAAAUUUUUAA